rnacentral:rRNA from 1 species
AGUGAACGCUGGCGGUAGGCCUAACACAUGCAAGUCGAACGGCAGCACAGUAAGAGCUUGCUCUUACGGGUGGCGAGUGGCGGACGGGUGAGGAAUACAUCGGAAUCUACUUUUUCGUGGGGGAUAACGGAGGGAAACUUACGCUAAUACCGCAUACGACCUACGGGUGAAAGCAGGGGAUCUUCGGACCUUGCGCGAUUGAAUGAGCCGAUGUCGGAUUAGCUAGUUGGCGGGGUAAAGGCCCACCAAGGCGACGAUCCGUAGCUGGUCUGAUAGGAUGAUCAGCCACACUGGAACUGAGACACGGUCCAGACUCCUACGGGAGGCAGCAGUGGGGAAUAUUGGACAAUGGGCGCAAGCCUGAUCCAGCCAUACCGCGUGGGUGAAGAAGGCCUUCGGGUUGUAAAGCCCUUUUGUUGGGAAAGAAAAGCAGCAGGUUAAUACCCCGCUGUUCUGACGGUACCCAAAGAAUAAGCACCGGCUAACUUCGUG